UUAAGUGACUAAGCGUACACGGUGGAUGCCUGGGCAGUCAGAGGCGAUGAAGGACGUACUAACUUGCGAUAAGCGCAGAUAAGGCAGUAAGAGCCGUUUGAGUCUGCGAUUUCCGAAUGGGGAAACCCAACUGCAUAAGCAGUUACUGUUAACUGAAUCAUAGGUUAACAGAGCAAACCGGGGGAACUGAAACAUCUAAAGUACCCCGAGGAGAAGAAAUCAACCGAGAUUCCGGUAGUAGCGGCGAGCGAACCUGGAUUAGCCCUUAAGCACUCGGUGAAGUAGGUGAACAAGCUGGAAAGCUUGGCGAUACAGGGUGAUAGCCCCGUAACCGACGCUUCAUCGAGCGUGAAAUCGAGUAGGGCGGGACACGUGAUAUCCUGUCUGAAUAUGGGGGGACCAUCCUCCAAGGCUAAAUACUCCUGACUGACCGAUAGUGAACCAGUACCGUGAGGGAAAGGCGAAAAGAACCCCUGUGAGGGGAGUGAAAUAGAACCUGAAACCGUGUACGUACAAGCAGUAGGAGCACCUUCGUGGUGUGACUGCGUACCUUUUGUAUAAUGGGUCAGCGACUUAUAUUCAGUGGCAAGGUUAACCGUAUAGGGGAGCCGUAGCGAAAGCGAGUCUUAACUGGGCGUUCAGUCUCUGGAUAUAGACCCGAAACCGGGUGAUCUAGCCAUGGGCAGGUUGAAGGUUGAGUAACAUCAACUGGAGGACCGAACCGACUAAUGUUGAAAAAUUAGCGGAUGACUUGUGGCUAGGGGUGAAAGGCCAAUCAAACUCGGAGAUAGCUGGUUCUCCCCGAAAGCUAUUUAGGUAGCGCCUCGGACGAAUACUACUGGGGGUAGAGCACUGUUAAGGCUAGGGGGUCAUCCCGACUUACCAACCCUUUGCAAACUCCGAAUACCAGUAAGUACUAUCCGGGAGACACACGGCGGGUGCUAACGUCCGUCGUGGAGAGGGAAACAACCCAGACCGCCAGCUAAGGUCCCAAAGUAUUGCUAAGUGGGAAACGAUGUGGGAAGGCUCAGACAGCUAGGAUGUUGGCUUAGAAGCAGCCAUCAUUUAAAGAAAGCGUAAUAGCUCACUAGUCGAGUCGGCCUGCGCGGAAGAUGUAACGGGGCUAAGCAAUACACCGAAGCUGCGGCAAUGUCUUUUAGACAUUGGGUAGGGGAGCGUUCUGUAAGCCGUUGAAGGUGAAUCGUAAGGUUUGCUGGAGGUAUCAGAAGUGCGAAUGCUGACAUGAGUAACGACAAAGGGGGUGAAAAACCUCCUCGCCGGAAGACCAAGGGUUCCUGUCCAACGUUAAUCGGGGGCAGGGUGAGUCGACCCCUAAGGUGAGGCCGAAAGGCGUAAUCGAUGGGAAACGGGUUAAUAUUCCCGUACUUCUGACUAUUGCGAUGGGGGGACGGAGAAGGCUAGGUGGGCCAGGCGACGGUUGUCCUGGUUCAAGUGCGUAGGCUUGAGAGUUAGGUAAAUCCGGCUCUCUCUAAGGCUGAGACACGACGUCGAGCUACUACGGUAGUGAAGUCAUUGAUGCCAUGCUUCCAGGAAAAGCCUCUAAGCUUCAGAUAGUCAGGAAUCGUACCCCAAACCGACACAGGUGGUCGGGUAGAGAAUACCAAGGCGCUUGAGAGAACUCGGGUGAAGGAACUAGGCAAAAUGGUACCGUAACUUCGGGAGAAGGUACGCUCUUGAUGGUGAAGUCCCUCGCGGAUGGAGCUGACGAGAGUCGCAGAUACCAGGUGGCUGCAACUGUUUAUUAAAAACACAGCACUGUGCAAAAUCGCAAGAUGACGUAUACGGUGUGACGCCUGCCCGGUGCCGGAAGGUUAAUUGAUGGGGUUAGCGCAAGCGAAGCUCUUGAUCGAAGCCCCGGUAAACGGCGGCCGUAACUAUAACGGUCCUAAGGUAGCGAAAUUCCUUGUCGGGUAAGUUCCGACCUGCACGAAUGGCGUAAUGAUGGCCACGCUGUCUCCACCCGAGACUCAGUGAAAUUGAAAUCGCUGUGAAGAUGCAGUGUACCCGCGGCUAGACGGAAAGACCCCGUGAACCUUUACUACAGCUUGGCACUGAACAUUGAACCUACAUGUGUAGGAUAGGUGGGAGGCUAUGAAGACGUGACGCCAGUUGCGUUGGAGCCGUCCUUGAAAUACCACCCUUGUAUGUUUGAUGUUCUAACUUAGACCCGUUAUCCGGGUUGAGGACAGUGCCUGGUGGGUAGUUUGACUGGGGCGGUCUCCUCCCAAAGAGUAACGGAGGAGCACGAAGGUGGGCUAAUCACGGUUGGACAUCGUGAGGUUAGUGCAAUGGCAUAAGCCCGCUUAACUGCGAGAAUGACGGUUCGAGCAGGUGCGAAAGCAGGUCAUAGUGAUCCGGUGGUUCUGUAUGGAAGGGCCAUCGCUCAACGGAUAAAAGGUACUCCGGGGAUAACAGGCUGAUACCGCCCAAGAGUUCAUAUCGACGGCGGUGUUUGGCACCUCGAUGUCGGCUCAUCACAUCCUGGGGCUGAAGUCGGUCCCAAGGGUAUGGCUGUUCGCCAUUUAAAGUGGUACGCGAGCUGGGUUUAGAACGUCGUGAGACAGUUCGGUCCCUAUCUGCCGUGGGCGUUGGAAGAUUGAAGGGGGCUGCUCCUAGUACGAGAGGACCGGAGUGGACGAACCUCUGGUGUUCGGGUUGUGUCGCCAGACGCAUUGCCCGGUAGCUAAGUUCGGAAUUGAUAAGCGCUGAAAGCAUCUAAGCGCGAAGCGAGCCCUGAGAUGAGUCUUCCCUGAUACUUUAAGUAUCCUAAAGGGUUGUUCGAGACUAGAACGUUGAUAGGCAGGGUGUGUAAGCGUUGUGAGGCGUUGAGCUAACCUGUACUAAUUGCCCGUGAGGCUUAACCAU
rnacentral:rRNA from 1 species